GUGGGGAAUAUUGGACAAUGGGCGAAAGCCUGAUCCAGCCAUGCCGCGUGUGUGAAGAAGGUCUUCGGAUUGUAAAGCACUUUAAGUUGGGAGGAAGGGCAGUAAGUUAAUACCUUGCUGUUUUGACGUUACCGACAGAAUACGCACCGGCUAACUUCGUGCCAGCAGCCGCGGUAAUACGAAGGGUGCAAGCGUUAAUCGGAAUUACUGGGCGUAAAGCGCGCGUAGGUGGUUUUGUAAGUUGGAGGUGAAAUCCCCGGGCUCAACCUGGGAACUGCCUACAAAACUGCAUGACUAGAGUACGGGAGAGGGUAGUGGAAUUUCCUGUGUAGCGGUGAAAUGCGUAGAUAUAGGAAGGAACACCAGUGGCGAAGGCGACUACCUGGACUGAUACUGACACUGAGGUGCGAAAGCGUGGGGAGCAAACAGGAUUAGAAACCCGGGUAGUCC
rnacentral:rRNA from 1 species